UUUUUUUUUUUUUUUCAGUGUCGUUUUUUUAUGCUGGUCCUUGGAUACAUUUGUCAUGAUAUUGUGAGUUUUCUGUGAUCUCUACCCAGUCUGUGUUUGGAAUUUGGGGUCAGUGUGCGCUUCCCUCGGGGAAAAUACAUUUUUCUGUAACUCUGCCAGGUUGAAGGAGAAACAGGACUCAAAUAGAUUCCCUAUAUGGCUAGGAACACCGGUUUCUUAGAGGCUGGAGUCCAGGCUUGGCACUCAUUGGCUCAGUACAAGUAAGUGACAGAGCCUGGGCCAAUCAGUGAAGGCACUAGUACUACAGCUUCCUGUUUGGCCCUCAGUCCUGCGCUUGUUCAGUAGUGAACGACCUCCUUCCUUGUUCAAAGGGAAUGGAGGGUGUCAGGGCUUGGUCUUCGCCCGCCGUUUCCCUCGGAUCGUCAAGAGUAUCCAUUCAUUCAGUGGUUCCAACCGCGUCCACUGCUGUUGGCGCGCACAGGAGACUUCAGCCUACUGCCUGGUGGCAGGUAACCCGGCGCAUGUGUGCCGGUCAGGCGCGCCCCAGUGGUGACGUCACCGCUCGUGCCUGCGAUUGGCUCCGAAAAGCUGGCGCACCGAAUGACCGCGUUGCUUGGCGCGGAGGCCCUUAAAAAGUGCUUUACUCCGCCGGCCAUCUGUUCCCCGAGCCAUACAUUACUAUGCGCUGCUCACUUUCAAGGUUUCCUGCUUAAAGGGCUUUCCUGAUGAGUUGAGGGUACAGGCUAAUGGGAAGAUGAAAGAUUCCUUUGGUUGGGGAUCCAGGAGCUGUAGUCUCAGAUCUGACUUAAGAGGCUCGAGAGUGUCUGUAAAAUUCUGAUCCAUUCGAGUGAAGUGGCGUUGCAUUUUGAACCGCGCGACUGUCUCCCAAUUUCAGCCUGAGCUCCCUGGGACCCAUAGUCAUCACAUUAAGUCAAAGGAAAGGCGCAGCAAAGACUUCUUGAAUAAACGACCGAGUAAGGUCCAGUGGAAAUUGUCCAAAUGCCUCUGAAACCCGCUGUACGCUGGAUUUGAGCCAAAAGUAGAAGUGGUCAGCUGCAGACAGUUCAGCAGUCAAAAAUCUGGUAGUGCAACUUCAGCCCCCUGGAAGGCAGGAUUUGCCAGCGUUCCUAAGGUGUCCUGUUUGCAAGAGUCUCCUUGGUUUGCAACCUUAAUCUUGCAUCCCUUAAUCCACACCACAGCCAAGUGUCCACCCACAGAGGGCUCAACCUGGACAUGGCCGAGAAACGGCACGGAGCCUGGUUCGGCUUUGGUUUCUGUGGCUUCGGGCAAGCGCUGGGUUCUGGGAACAGCCACCAUUCAGUGUACAGUCCUGAACCACUGCAUGCCAGUGAUGAUAUUUGCCAAGUGAGCGCAGGCUGGAGCUACACUGCCCUGGUGACCCGUGGAGGCCGGGUGGAAUUGUCAGGUUCUGUGAGCGGUGCAGCAGACGGCUGCAGGGACGUGUGGGCUUCGGAGGAACUCCUGGUGCUGCUACGCAACAAGGGCGGCUCCAGCACGGAAGUGCAGGCCUGGGUACCAGGUUCUGCGUUACAGGGGGAGCCCCUCUGGGUCCAGAACUUGGUUUCUGGGGCAAAGGGCCAAGGGGAAGAUGAACCCAGCAGGGAGUCUAGGAUGGGGACCCUGCCGUUGCUACCCUGCGCCCGUGCCUAUGUGACCCCAGAACCACCCUUCUGCCAGCCUCUGGCCCCAGAGCUGCGGGUCCGCCAGCUGGAGCUGGGAGCUGAGCAUGUGCUGCUGUUGUGCGCAGCUGGCCAGGUGUUCUCCUGGGGUGCGGGCAGGCAUGGACAGCUGGGCCACGGGACUCUGGAGGCAGAACUAGAGCCAAGACUGUUGGAGGCACUGCAGGGCCUGCGGAUGGCUAAGGUGGCUGCAGGUGGCUGGCACUCUGUGUGUUUGAGUGAAACGGGGGAUAUUUAUAUCUGGGGCUGGAAUGAGUCAGGGCAGCUGGCCCUGCCCACAAGGAGUGGGACAGAGAACAAAGCAGAGAGAGAGGAAGCCACAGAAUUGAAUGAAGAUGGUCUCAAAGAGGAAUUAGCUGUGGCUGAUGCAGGAGCUCCUGCCCACUUCAUAGCCAUCCAGCCCUUCCCUGCUCUUCUGGAUCUUCCCCUGGGCUCAGAUGCAGUUAUGGCCAGCUGCGGAUCCCGACACACAGCUGUGGUGACACGCACAGGAGAACUCUAUACCUGGGGCUGGGGUAAAUACGGACAGCUUGGCCACAAGGACAGCACCAGCUUGGAUCGACCCUGCUGUGUGGAGUACUUUGUAGAAAGACAACUUGAAGUAAGGGCUGUGACAUGUGGACCCUGGAAUACCUAUGUCUAUGCAAUGGAAAGAGACAAAAGCUGAACUAUCCCUUAGUGGAUCCCCACUUAUGUGCCUGGUUGCUGUAUGGACCAAUGACAGCCCCAUUAAGACAGCAGGACCAGAGACUCAGAUAAAAAUCUCUGCAGCCGGAGAGAUUAAAUCUAGGACAUCACGUAUGCUGGUAACACCUCCUACCACUGAACUAAACCCACAGUGGUGUAGAUAACAAUUUUGCAUCAAUCCACAAGAUGUCUGGAACUCCCUGUCUUGAACUCCUGAGAUCUGUAGAUUACAGGUGAGGGUAAUCAUAUCCAAAUAUACUCUGAAUACAAAUUUCUAUUCAGUGUAAGUUAGGAUUUUACUAGUCUUCAUAAUGCACCAUUAACCCCAGAAGGGCUUAAUGAAUAACGUCAUUCAGAUGGGAAUAUCUGAAAUCCUUAGCCUUGUACUCAAUUUCUUUUCACAAUACUACUUGUCAGUUGUUUUCAUUCUAUUCCCAGACUCUUGAGGCCAAGUAUCUGGGGGUAAAAAAAAUGAUCAAAAUCUAUAAUCACAAAACCAAGAUUCUUAGAAAUUACAAAGCCUUGUCACCCAACUCGUUGCAGAAAAUUAUUUUAUAAAUUCGAAAACGGCAUUCAGCCUUUUACUCAAAGAGUCAGUUCUGAUUGGAUUUCCAAUCGGGCACUCCCAAGCAGUGCCCGGGAAUUUUCUUUUUAAUAGAGGAUUCUUUUUAUUUAUUUUCAUAGGUGCGUCGGUGUUUUUCCUAGAUGUAUGUCUGUAUGUGAGGGUGUCAAAAAUCACCUGGAACUGGAGUUAAAGACAGUUGUGAGCUGCCUUGUGAGUGCUGGGAAAUUGAACCCACCUCCUCUGGGAGAGCAAUCAGUGCUUUUAGCCGCUAAACCAUCUCUCUAACCCCGCCUGGGAAUCUUAAAACGACCGGAAAAGAAUUCGAAUUUGUUAACUUGCAAGGAAAUAAAGCCUUUCUUUCUUUCUUUCUUUUUUUUUUUUUUUUUUUUUUUUUUUUUUUUUUUUUUGUGACAGGGUUUCUCUGUGUAACCCUGGCUGUCCUGGAACUCACUCUGUAGCCCUGGCUAUCCUCGAACUCAGAAAUCCGCCUGCCUCCGCCUCCCAAGUGGUGGGAUUAAAGGCGUGUGCCACCACUGGCCGGCUCAAGCCGUCUUCCUAACUC